UACGUAGGUGGCAAGCGUUAUCCGGAUUCACUGGGUGUAAAGGGAGCGUAGACGGCCAUGCAAGCCAGGGGUGAAAGCCCGGGGCCCAACCCCGGGACUGCCCUUGGAACUGCAUGGCUGGAGUGCGGGAGGGGCAGGCGGAAUUCCUGGUGUAGCGGUGAAAUGCGUAGAUAUCAGGAGGAACACCGGCGGCGAAGGCGGCCUGCUGGACCGCGACUGACGUUGAGGCUCGAAAGCGUGGGGAGCAAACAGG
rnacentral:rRNA from 1 species